rnacentral:rRNA from 1 species
GACGAACGCUGGCGGCGUGCUUAACACAUGCAAGUCGAACGGAAAGGCUCCAGCUUGCUGGAGUCCUCGAGUGGCGAACGGGUGAGUAACACGUGGGUAAUCUGCCCUGCACUCUGGGAUAAGCCUGGGAAACUGGGUCUAAUACUGGAUAUGACCUUUCUCCUUAUGGGGUUUGGUGGAAAGUUUUUCGGUGUAGGAUGAGCCCGCGGCCUAUCAGCUUGUUGGUGGGGUGAUGGCCUACCAAGGCGACGACGGGUAGCCGGCCUGAGAGGGUGAUCGGCCACAUUGGGACUGAGAUACGGCCCAGACUCCUACGGGAGGCAGCGGUGGGGAAUAUUGCACAAUGGGCGGAAGCCUGAUGCAGCGACGCCGCGUGAGGGAUGACGGCCUUCGGGUUGCAAACCUCUUUCAGCAGGGACGAGGCGUAAGUGACGGUACCUGCAGAAGAAGCACCGGCUAACUAUGUG